CCUACGGGAGGCAGCAGUGAGGAAUAUUGGUCAAUGGGCGCGAGCCUGAACCAGCCAAGUCGCGUGAAGGAUGACUGCCCUACGGGUUGUAAACUUCUUUUAUAAAGGAAUAAAGUGAGGCACGUGUGCCUUUUUGUAUGUACUUUAUGAAUAAGGAUCGGCUAACUCCGUGCCAGCAGCCGCGGUAAUACGGAGGAUCCGAGCGUUAUCCGGAUUUAUUGGGUUUAAAGGGAGCGUAGGUGGGUUGUUAAGUCAGUUGUGAAAGUUUGGGGCUCAACCGCAAAAUUGCAAUUGAUACUGGCAGUCUUGAGUAGAGUAGAGGUAGGCGGAAUGCGUGGUGUAGCGGUGAAAUGCUUAGAUAUCACGCAGAACCCCGAUUGCGAAGGCAGCUUACUAAACUGCCACUGACAUUGAUGCUCGAAAGUGUGGGUAUCGAACAGGAUUAGAUACCCGAGUAGUC
rnacentral:rRNA from 1 species